AUUCCUCUAGGGGUUUCAAUGGCCAGCCCUGGGAGUAUCACACACCACCAGAACUUAGUCACAUGGGAUUUUUGGCUGCCAGGGAGGCUGGGCAAUGUGUGCUGAGAUCCUGGAUAGUUAUGAAUCUUUUGAAAGUAUUAGUGUUCCUGUCCUGAUCCUUAACCAACUUGAUGGUUGAAAAAGACACAUUAACAUAUAAAAGUGGCUGGCCUAUUGGACAUGUCUGGUCCUUUCUGUCAUCAAUCCUCUGGAGGCAUCAGAGAAUGAAUACUCAUCACAACAGCCCUGUUAUUUUCCUUGAAAACAUUGUGCCUGUAUGUUGAAAUCACAGUAUGCAAUCUAUUUAUUGAGUUGGUCACAAAGGAA